AGGCAGCACAAUAUGGUAGUGCCGAGCAGGCCUCUGCGUAAGCUUCGUAGUAAACUUAAACCAUGUUCUCUUACAAAUCUCCAGAGUCAGGCAGCACCAGCCACUGAAUGGAGCAAAUGCAAAAAAAGCUGAGGUCUUUAUCUUCCUCAAGCUUUACCGAGUCCACAGAGCUGCCUGUUGGAAGGUGUUCCAGUCUCGAAGACUUGUAAAAACAAAGAGAAAGAAGAAUUUCCUCCUGCACAAUGUGACAUUGCAAAUUGGCUUAACUGCUGGAGACCUUGUGCUUCCUUUCUGAGAUUACCUGGGACAUCAGCUACUGUCACCAAAGAGUGAUCAGCACCAUUGUAACCCUGUCACAAGAGUGUGUGUGUAUAUGUGUGUAAGUGCGCAUGCAUAUAAGUUCAUCAGAGAAAUCUUUGUAGGAAGGCAGUGGAAAAUUAAUGGCCUAGAUUAUAAAAAAUGGAAGGCAUUUUUUACAAACAGAAACAUCUUACUAUACAUUGCUUUGCUUCAAAAGUUUGUUCCACAAAGAGUCCUCAGUUUUACUGAAAAGCAUUAUUUGUCCUUAACACUCUUAAGAAUUUGAACUAUGAUAAAAAGGAAAUCUUAGUUAUUUCUGUCUUACUCUCCAAUCCCUCUGGCAUUUGAUGAUAACAUAAAUGUCCCAGAAAUAGUAAACUGCCUCAUUCACAUUGCAAAGUGUAUUCGUAAGUAUUCCAAUCUCAAGUCCAGGCCUAUUCUUUUGAAGUAGGUAUUAUUGUGCUCAUUCUAUAAAAGUAUACACUAAGUGCAAAGUGAUUAAUCUAGCAAAUCACAACUAUUUUAGUGGCAAAAUAUAAUAUCCAGAGAAAUAGCUCUGGCUUAAAGUCUUGGCUUUGCCAAUUACUAGCAUAAAAUCUAGGGCAAGAUGAUUAACAGAACUAUACUUCAGUUUUUUCAUCCACAAAAUGGAGCUGAGAGUGCACAAAUAACUGCUUUACAAUAAGUUAAUCCAUGGAAAAUUAUUUAAACAGAGUCUAGUACAAAUUAUGCCCUCAAUAAAACUUUAUGCUGGCUAUUAGUAGUUAGUAUUGCCAGUUAGGACUAACAAUGGUAUUUCGAGACCAAGUCAUUUAUUCUUCGUAUAGGCAAUGUGAUAUGCUGUAUUGAUGGGGCAAAAUUCAUGACACUUUCAACAUAAAAAAGGAGGAGUUUGUUCUGAUUCUGUCUCAAGGAAGUAUGUCAUGAUGGAAGGACAUAAUGAGAGAAAACUGUUUACUUCACAAUGUCCAGGAAGCAGAGAGCAGAAGAGGAGAACAGAGGAAUAGGCCAGGCAUAAGACAUAGGUCCAGGGUCUUGGACCUAUGGACCUAGAUGUGUAAGUCCUGAUGACCAAGUAUGCAUUAGUAAUCACAUAGGUGUCUUUCAAGCAAAUCAAGUUGACAAUUGCUUUGAUUAAUACUACAACCAAUGAGAAUAAUUGUAUUCAGAGUUUAAAAAAGCUUACAUAGUAAACAUUCAAUAAGCAUGGGUGGCUGUGCACAGAAAGAUGAACAGAUAGACUUAAACUAUGAUUUGAGCCAUGGCACCUAUAAACUAUAAGAAACUUAUUGAUUGACUCUAUUCAAAGAAAACAAUUGUCAAUGCUUUGAGAUUUUAUAACAUCAUUCAGUAUAAACAUUACUGUUCUGUUUUAAUUCAUUUUACUACCCCUUUUCUUCCUUAUUUUUUUAAAAAAAUAAUCAAGUCUGUGGUUUAAGGACAAUGUGGCCACAUCCAACAUCAUCUUUCUAUAUCUCUGAAGUAAUUAAAGCAAAUGCAAGCGGAAAACUCGGCAGUCUAAGACAACAGCUAUUUCUUGGCAUUAUCAAUCUGCCAAAACUCUUUUCUCCACUUACUAAGAACUCCCCCAACUAAUCAAAACUUUCCAUGAAACAAAGUGGUCCUCACAAGAUAUAUAAGAUGGCUUUUCUAGAGUCUAGCUGCUGAUUGCUCUAAAGAUAGAGAAAGGAACAGGUUAUGAAAAUAACCCCAAACUCUGUUUGGAUCAAGAUGAAAUAGUCUAGCAAUAUGAACCAGAGGAAAGCAUCUAAGAGAAAUGGUAAUAAGCAGCUCCUCAUUGUUUUGGAACAAGUGUGCCUUUUUUUCCCCCUAACAAUCUAUCGCUGAGUGCCACGGUGCUGUUUCAUAUCAAGAUUUCAAAAACCAUUACAAGCUGCAUAGGUAAUGGAGGCUCAACCAGAUGUGAUGAAGUUUCCAUUGUUUUACUUAGUGCAUGGAAAAUAUUACUAAUGGCUGGUGUCAGGGGAGGCUUAACUGCCCCCAGUUGGCCAAACUCUGCUGGGCUCAUUUCUUUAAAUCAGACCCUUUAAAUACUCUCUCUUGUUAUUUCACAACCCCCCUGCUCCUAUUUUACAAGAUGUUUGACUACAUAAAGCUCAUUUUAGGCAAAGGGGAAAUUCCAUGACUGCAUGAACAGGUGGUCCAGGGAUGUGGAAGAAGAGUGGGAUAUUUUUCCUUGUGACUGAAUUUUAUUUACAGCUCAUUCUUGAUUAUCUUUGGACACCAGAGAAAGUAAAGCACAAUGAAGAAACUGAAGUUUGAAAAAAAUAUCCGUUCAGGCUUGCUUUCUUGUCAUUAGAGUCAGAAGGAAUACUAAAGGUUACAACACUGACAAACCUGGGCGAAACUUUUCCUACUGUAAUUAUUCUUACCUGCCUUCUCCGGUGUAUGCACUGAGAUUAAAGAAAAAAGUUGUCACUCAGAAAAAGGCGGGGGGGGGCGGGAGGCCCUUAAUUCCUACUAGCCUAGAGUUGACAUUCCAUUUUUGGUUUGAAUAUAUGAUUUGUGCAUUAAAUUUUUGGAGGUAUUGAUAAACACACGUCAGAGAAACAUUUGACUUCCGUUUCUGUAAUAUACCAGCGCUUCCAAAACAAUGUAGCUGUUUCAGUAAAGCACAGACUUGUUCUUUUCAUUUAACUUAAAAGACACCAGAGUAGGUCAUGUUCUUUUCACAUUCUGCCUCUAAACUUUGCAUUCAUUACAUGUAUCCUUCAUCCCUUUUGUAAAAUUGAUAUUAUCUUCCAAACUGCACUCACCAAAAUCCAGGCCUCAAUGUUAGUUUACAGGGGGGGAAAAAAAGGAAAUGCUUCUCUAAACCUUGGUAGACUUGAUUUCAGUCUUUGCCUUUAUCAGAAUGUCUUUUUGGCAGUAUUGGAGUAGAGACCCCCUGACGGUAACCUUCUUGAAACAAGUUGUCUGGCACUUAAAUAUUUACCCUUGAAGUCAUAAGUUCAAAAAAGGUCAAAAUAAGAAAAUGUGACAAUGAUUUCAGAAAUGAACAUAUUAUUGGAUUGCUGCAUCUUAAAUAUUUUUCUUAACUGUGUUAUUAUUCAAAUGGAAUUUUGAUGAAACAGCAUUGAAUUUUUAAAAACUUUAUAUAACUGUGACAUAAAUGUACAGUGGUCGUUACUUUUUAAAAAAUCAAAACUCAUGCAUACCUGCUUCCUGGAUGCAGGUUUUAAAAGACAAGCGAUCAUUAAUGAAAAACAAAGUCCUUCUAGGUUUUACAGCUCUCUGUCAAACUAAAACUCAAUUAAAGCCUUUCAUGGUACAUGAAAAAUACCCGCAUUUACUGUGCAGUUUAUAUGUGUUCACUGACUUCUUAGUUGUUUUUUAUUAGUGUGGGUCCCUGCAGGAAGUCAUAUGCUGAA